CCCGCACAAGCGGUGGAGCAUGUGGUUUAAUUCGAAGCAACGCGAAGAACCUUACCAGGUCUUGACAUCCCGAUGCUAUUUCUAGAGAUAGAAAGUUACUUCGGUACAUCGGUGACAGGUGGCGCAUGGUUGUCGUCAGCUCGUGUCGUGAGAUGUUGGGUUAAGUCCCGCAACGAGCGCAACCCUUAUUGCUAGUUACCAUCAUUAAGUUGGGGACUCUAGCGAGACUGCCAGUGAUAAACUGGAGGAAGUGGGGAUGACGUCAAAUCAUCAUGCCCCUUAUGACCUGGGCUACAAACGUGAUACAAUGGCUGAAACAAAGGGCAGCGAAGCAGUGAUGUGAAGCGAAACCCAAAAAAGCAGUCUCAGUUCGGAUUGAAGUCUGCAACUCGACUUCAUGAAGUCGGAAUCGCUAGUAAUCGCGAAUCAGAACGUCGCGGUGAAUACGUUCUCGGGGUUU
rnacentral:rRNA from 1 species